rnacentral:rRNA from 1 species
GACGAACGCUGGCGGCGUGCCUAAUACAUGCAAGUAGAACGCACAGUUUAUACCGUAGCUUGCUACACCAUAGACUGUGAGUUGCGAACGGGUGAGUAACGCGUAGGUAACCUGCCUGGUAGCGGGGGAUAACUAUUGGAAACGAUAGCUAAUACCGCAUAAUAUUAAUUAUUGCAUGAUAAUUAAUUGAAAGGUGCAAUUGCACCACUACCAGAUGGACCUGCGUUGUAUUAGCUAGUAGGUGAGGUAACGGCUCACCUAGGCGACGAUACAUAGCCGACCUGAGAGGGUGAUCGGCCACACUGGGACUGAGACACGGCCCAGACUCCUACGGGAGGCAGCAGUAGGGAAUCUUCGGCAAUGGACGAAAGACUGACCGAGCAACGCCGCGUGAGUGAAGAAGGUUUUCGGAUCGUAAAGCUCUGUUGUAAGAGAAGAACGGGUGUGAGAGUGGAAAGUUCACACUGUGACGGUAUCUUACCAGAAAGGGACGGCUAACUACGUG